rnacentral:rRNA from 1 species
AUUGAACGCUGGCGGCAGGCCUAACACAUGCAAGUCGAGCGGAUGAAGAGAGCUUGCUCUCUGAUUCAGCGGCGGACGGGUGAGUAAUGCCUAGGAAUCUGCCUGGUAGUGGGGGGCAACGUUUCGAAAGGAACGCUAAUACCGCAUACGUCCUACGGGAGAAAGUGGGGGAUCUUCGGACCUCACGCUAUCAGAUGAGCCUAGGUACGAUUAGCUAGUUGGUGAGGUAAAGGCUCACCAAGGCGACGAUCGUUAACUGGUCUGAGAGGAUGAUCAGUCACACUGGAACUGAGACACGGUCCAGACUCCUACGGGAGGCAGCAGUGGGGAAUAUUGGACAAUGGGCGAAGGCCUGAUCCAGCCAUGCCGCGUGCGUGAAGAAGGUCUUCGGAUUGUAAAGCACUUUAAGUUGGGAGGAAGGGCAGUAAGUUAAUACCUUGCUGUUUUGACGUUACCGACAGAAUAAGCACCGGCUAACUUCGUGCCAGCCGCCGCGGUAAUAC